UUCAGGUUUCCCUGCAUGCCACGCCCCUUCCCCGCCCCUGCCCCUAGGCCCCGCCCCACGGGAUCGACCCCCGCCAGUCUCCGCCUUUUGCCACGCCCUUCGGUCCAGGCCCCGCCCCUCCCCGCCCCUCGCCCACGCAGGCCGGAGCCGCGGCCUCCCCAGCCAGUGGUCCGGGGCGCGGGCGCAGGGGCAGCGGGGUCGCCGCCGCGCCAGGUGUUGCGGAGGGGUGUGGCGGGCUCCGAGAGGCCCGGCAGCGGCUCGCAGAGCAGCCUCCAGCCGCAGCCGCGCAGAGCUGCCAGAGUGGAGCACACUGCUUCUCCCAGGGGGGCAGGACGGCGGGUUCGCGUCUGGUUGGAGGAGGCCUUGUCCCCGCGAAGAGUUCCAUCCCCAGGCCGUAGCAGAGGGCACGUAUCCCUGCCCCAGGCCAGAAAAGGAAGCAGAGGCUCGGGGAGGCUGAUGACUUGUCCCAGUUCACACCGCUGACCUGCAACAGGGCCGAAGGAAAUCACGUCCACAGUGGCCCAUUUCCAAGACCAAGCGCCUUGAGUGCGAUCAGGUCCACCAACUGCGGAAGGGACGGGGCAUAUGAGGCCCCCGCGUGGAACCCUCACCAGAACCAAAGAAGUUUAGUCUAAGAUAUAAAGGUUUAUAGCCUGCAAAACAGCCGGCUUUGUCUGUCUGAUCAGCCUGCCCGGCCACUUAGGUCCUAAGUCAGAAGCUUGAAGAGCCGCUGAGCUGACCAGGAUUGCAACAAAAUGCAGCAGAACAACCCUGAGAAUAACACCUAGAGCCUCAACCCCACAACCAAGAGGCCACGUCCGGGAAGACCGUGACCCCAGCGCUGUGUGAACCUAGCCCGUGUGGGUCUGACCAACUCAUUGUCAGUUGAGGAAGCAGACGAACUGCAUCUUAGCUUCUUCACUUAGAGUUUAUUUCCUCUCCACUAAGUAUGAAGCUGUAGUGCGUGGCUGGGCAGGAUGACACCAGGCACAGCUGGGAAGGCAUUUCCCGAUGAGAUACCGAGUCGAGCGGUCCCAGCAGACCCUGAGAACGCAGAUGUUGCCGAGUACCAGAGCCCCGUGUCCGUAGGUUGUAUGUCUUUGUGGCAGCUCAAGCCCCUGCACCUGGCACGGUUUACUUCUCAUGUCCUAGUUUAUCUUCCAACUUUUUGCUUGCUCUGCUUCUGUGAGAAAAUGCUUCAGCUAGAAUCCCCUCCCCUUUCAAACUAGGGUGUAAGGAACCACAAAACUCCUUCUUCCGGGCCGAGAGAAUUUUGGGCAUUAGCCGUCCCUCGGUCGCCGGCAGUAAAGGACUCUCGAUUUGAUCUCAGAGUGUGGUGCCCAGGUAUGACAGUACUCAGCCUACGAGCAACCAGGGGAGUGGCCUGUGCACUCCGGGAUAAAUGGCCCAUUAAAACCACGCUGGGGGCUGGGCAUGGUGCCUCAUGCCUGUAAUCCCAGCGCUUUGGGAGGCCGAGGUGGGU
rnacentral:lncRNA from 13 species